CCAUGAUGAAGUGCCAUUUCUGUUAUGUCUCCCCUCCCCCAGCUCAGAGGUGCUCAGAGGUACGAGGUGCCCAAGUUUGUCAGUUGAGAUUAAAAGUAAGGAACAGAGAAUGUGCAAUACCGUCUGGCUGGGGGCUGUCCCUGCCCUGAGCUGAAUCCCUUCCCUGGGAGCCAGGCCACCUUUGAAUGGGGUUUGGAAGUAAGAUGUGUAGAGACAGGGGAUGAUGGGGAAGGAAAGCCUGUAGUCACGUGCCUGCCAAGGUGCUGAGGCGAUAGGGGAGAGGGUGGAGUCUUCCCUGUUUUUAUCCCCUCAGGGUCAGUUACAUAGAGGCUGCUUGUUGACUAGUAUAGCUCCGUGACCCUUUGCUCAAUCGCUGAGGUUUGAUUUCUUACCCCCUCUUAUCCCCAUUUUCAUACCCUUCCCAGGGAUUAGUGAUGGGGGUGAGGUUCCUCUAAUCAUGGUAAAGUAUUAGCCUUCCACCUCCUCCCUUUUCCUCCUCCUCCCCCAUCCUCUGUCUUCCUCAUUUCUCUCCUUUUUCAUCACUGAUUGCCUUGUGUCCCUCCAAGUCUAUUGCUGUCCAUCCCCAGGCCUUGGGCCCCAUAGACACUAAACCUCAUGCCCUAAAGAUAGGGUUUAGAAAGACCCUCUGUACAGAGUUAUCCUUCACCCCUGGAGCCCUGAAGCUCAGGGUGAUACUAGAGUGAGGAUCCCACCAGUUUUGCCUGGCUUCCUCCAUCACCAGAGGCUUUAAAAGUAGUAGUUUAUGGACAGUGGCUUACUCUCUCUAAGCCUGAUACGGGUGAAUGAGCAGUAAGGCUUUGGUAAAACUGAGGGACAGAGGUCCUUAUUUGUCUUUUUUUUUUUCUUUUUCUUUUUCUUUUUGUCAUUUGACCACAGCAUCUGGACUUCUUUCAUCCCUGGAAUAAGUAUUUUUUCCACAUUUUUUGGAUGUAUGUAUGGUAGACAAUUUUUUUUUAAGACACAGAGAUAAAUGUUUUCCUGCUUUGGUUACCUUUCCUUUCCCCUUUAAAAGGAAUUAGCUAUAGAACUGCUUUGUAAAGAUGCUUCUUGAUAUUUUACUUUUGUUCCUUUUCCCUAACCUCUCCCUUUUCUCCCCACUUCUCCAGAAGGCAUAACCUUCUCUCCACACCCCCUACCCCCACCCCAGUCCUAGGCUCCCUUCCCCUCCAACAAGACCUUCAUUAGCUUAUGAUAUUUGCUGCCGAGAUGUUAUAACAAGGACUCAUUCGUGUAUAUAAGCUAUUUCUUGAUCCAUUUAAAAGGAAUUGUACAUUGUGUAGAAAAAAAAAAAAAAACUGAAAAAGAGAAAAAAAAGCCCUAGCCAUGGAUAUUGUGAAACCGUGUUAUGUCAUUUUGUAAUGUGCCCGUUUGUGUAUGAUCCGUGCAAAAGGGUUUCUGGGGAAGGGGCGGGGGUCGGGAGGCAGGGCUGUGG
ensembl:lncRNA